GAUGAACGCUGGCGGCGUGCCUAAUACAUGCAAGUCGAGCGAACAGAUGAGGAGCUUGCUCCUCUGACGUUAGCGGCGGACGGGUGAGUAACACGUGGAUAACCUACCUAUAAGACUGGGAUAACUUCGGGAAACCGGAGCUAAUACCGGAUAAUAUAUUGAACCGCAUGGUUCAAUAGUGAAAGACGGUUUUGCUGUCACUUAUAGAUGGAUCCGCGCCGCAUUAGCUAGUUGGUAAGGUAACGGCUUACCAAGGCAACGAUGAGUAGCCGACCGGAGAGGGUGAUCGGCCACACUGGAACUGAGACACGGUCCAGACUCCUACGGGAGGCAGCAGUGGGGAAUCUUGCGCAAUGGGCGAAAGCCUGACGGAGCAACGCCGCGUGAGUGAUGAAGGUCUUCGGAUCGUAAAACUCUUUUAUUAGGGAGGAACAAAUGUGUAAUUAACUAUGCACGUUUUGACGGUACCUAAUCAGAAAGCCACGGCUAACUACGUG
rnacentral:rRNA from 1 species